AUAUUAUUAUCUCGACUGAUAAUAUUAUGAUAAUAAAUGUUUCUUAAUUACAACUUCUGCAGAAGUAAAAUAAUGUGUUCUACUUGAGUUCAUGCCAACAUUACAUUAUUGGUAAUAAAAUGAAGAGAUUACAAUUUCAAUUGAAGAGGCAAGAUCGACGAUGCACUGUAUUGUAAAUUAUGCCAUGUCACAGAUGAAUUUUUUUGUCCUGUGGUGCUCGCCAGCCGCCGAAUGUUCUUUCAAUUUCUUGUGCUACAGCAAUCGUCAAAUGGUCACAACCUGGAUUUGCAGCGAUCUACAGAAGAAUAAAGAUAAAACUAAUUAAAAUAUAAACUCAUAAUCAAUUCUUACACAGAAUGAAGUCGAUGAUUACAAAGUUCAAAAAUUUAUUAAAAGUAAAUCUGGAUGUAGCACAGUAUACAUUUAACACUUUCUACACACGUUGUUUCUUAGCACACAUUUUUUUUACCACAAACAUUGAACCACACUUCUUAGUAAAUUUUUAGUAGUAGUAGUAAUAACAUAGUGGGACCAUAUAGUCACCAAAGUCACCUAGAUCCUUGCGAUUCCUCUGUGACUAUUCACUAUUCCACAAGGCUGGCUUUAAUAAAUUGAAUUGGUUACCAAUCUAAAGUUAAAAAGAUAUGCCCUUAGGGCAACAUGUCCUGUUAGGAGCCUUAUUCUGAACCUCUUAUUGCUUUUUUUAUAAGUAUUUUACAAGUACAAAAAAAUAGCAAUAAUUUUUAAAAAAAUAUUUUAACAUUUCUAGAAAAUAUUUAUAUGAAUGUUUAAUUUAAAAAAAUUGUAUAUAAAUGUUAUAACUAUAAUUAGUGCUUUUAAUUUUUGAAAGAAAUUGCAGAAUAAAAUUGUCCUAUUAUGUGUAUAAAGUGUUAAAUAUUGAUCAUAGUAAUAUUAAUGGAAAAAAGAAAAUUAUGUUUAUUUCACACUUUUAUCGUAAAAUAAUUGUUUUCUUUUGGUUGUAUGAUCACCAAAUCUGUUUCUCGAUUUAUAUAGAUGAACUUAUUCGUUAAUUUAUGCAGAGUGCGGCGGUUUUUUUACCUGAAGUCCAAUUGGCAUUUGAUUUUUGUCAAAACCAAGUGGACACUGCGUGACUGGAAAUCCCAGGACAUUGAAGAUCAUCAUGUAUGGACAAUUGUUUAUGUUAUACACACUUUCCUGAGGAUAAAUCGCUGACGAGCUAAAAGAUGGACAAAUUAAAACGCCGUCAUUGCCCAGUAGUUCCUAAUUAAAUGCCAAUGAAAUAUUUUAGUAUCAAUAUAAAUCAAAUAUAAUAAUAUAUCAUACAGAUUAAAAGUUUAAAAAAUGCGUUCUACCUCAAA